UACGUAGGGUGCAAGCGUUGUUCGGAGUUACUGGGCGUAAAGGGUGUGUAGGCGGUUCUUUAAGUUUGGUGUGAAAUCUCCCGGCUCAACCGGGAGGGUGCGCCGAAUACUGAGGGACUUCGAGUGCGGGAGAGGAAAGUGGAAUUCCUGGUGUAGCGGUGAAAUGCGUAGAUAUCAGGAGGAACACCGGUGGUGUAGACGGCUUUCUGGACCGUAACUGACGCUGAGACACGAAAGCGUGGGUAGCAAACAGG
rnacentral:rRNA from 1 species